GUAUGCGACAUUGGAUAUGCGUUCCUGAGAAGAAACAAGAUAUUUUCCUGUGAUCUAACUAAAGUUUUGGAUUUUGAUUUAAUUAAUUGAAACUACACGAGGUACUCUUCCCUAUAGCGUUUCAGAGAAUUAACAUAGACAAACAACAAGAACUGUGCUGAAAAUUACAGAACAUUUCAAAAAGAACAAGUGCUUGUAACCCUGAUCACACAAGGGAUUAAGGAAUGCUUACAGAUCGUUCAUAGGCAUGA
rnacentral:misc_RNA from 1 species